CAGGUUGCUGCUUCACUAACAAGGAAGUCGAUGCUCAUAUACCCAAUUACCCCAACUUGCCACCACAGUUAAUUUGUCAGCUUCACAAUGUGACUAUGCAUGACUGGAUUAAAUUACUAAAAGAAACGGUGUUGCAAUUUUAAAGUGUGGCCAACCUUAAAGGUUCUACCAUUAUAGGAAAAAGUGUUUCUUCAUAGCCUUGUGGACUAAUUUGAGGAGAAGAAGGAACCACCAAGAACCAGCCACAGUAAGAGGU